rnacentral:rRNA from 1 species
GUGGGGAAUCUUGCGCAAUGGGCGAAAGCCUGACGCAGCCAUGCCGCGUGGAUGAUGAAGGUCUUAGGAUUGUAAAAUCCUUUCACCGGUGAAGAUAAUGACGGUACCCGGAGAAGAAGCUCCGGCUAACUUCGUGCCAGCAGCCGCGGUAAUACGAAGGGGGCUAGCGUUGCUCGGAAUUACUGGGCGUAAAGGGCGCGUAGGCGGACAGCUUAGUCAGAGGUGAAAGCCCAGGGCUCAACCUUGGAAUUGCCUUUGAUACUGGCUGUCUUGAGUUUGGGAGAGGUGAGUGGAACUCCGAGUGUAGAGGUGAAAUUCGUAGAUAUUCGGAAGAACACCAGUGGCGAAGGCGACUCACUGGCCCAAUACUGACGCUGAGGCGCGAAAGCGUGGGGAGCAAACAGGAUUAGAUACCCGGGUAGUCC